rnacentral:rRNA from 1 species
CCUACGGGUGGCAGCAGUGAGGAAUAUUGGUCAAUGGGCGCUAGACUGAACCAGCCAAGUAGCGUGAAGGAUGAAUGCACUAUGGGUUGUAAACUUCUUUUGUAUGGGAAUAAAGUGCAGUAUGUAUACUGCUUUGCAUGUACCUUAUGAAUAAGGAUCGGCUAACUCCGUGCCAGCAGCCGCGGUAAUACGGAGGAUCCGAGCGUUAUCCGGAUUUAUUGGGUUUAAAGGGUGCGGAGGCGGGUUGGUAAGUCAGUUGUGAAAGGGGGCGGGUCAACCGUAAAAGUGAAGUUGAUACUGGCAGCCUUGAGUACAGGAGAGGUAGGCGGAAUUCGUGGUGUAGCGGUGAAAUGCAUAGAUAUCACGAAGAACUCCGAUUGCGAAGGCAGCCUGCUGGACUGUAACUGACGCUGAUGCUCGAAAGUGUGGGUAUCAAACAGGAUUAGAUACCCCAGUAGUC